GUUUGAUCCUGGCUCAGGAUGAGCGCUAGCGGCAGGCCUAAUACAUGCAAGCUGAACGGUAAAUAUUAUAGCAAUAUAGUAUGAGAGUAGCGUAAGGGUGCGUAACACGUAUGCAAUCUGCCCUGUACAGGAGGAUAGCUCGGCGAAAGCCGGAUUAAUACUCCGUAAGAUAUAGGUGGGGCAUCCCACCGAUAUUAAAGUCUUCGGAUGGUACAGGGUGAGCAUGCGUCUGAUUAGCUAGUUGGUAGUGUAACGGACUACCAAGGCGAUGAUCAGUAGGGGAACUGAGAGGUUGAUCCCCCACACUGGCACUGAGAUACGGGCCAGACUCCUACGGGAGGCAGCAGUAGGGAAUAUUGGUCAAUGGAUGCAAGUCUGAACCAGCCAUGCCGCGUGCAGGAAGAAGGCCUUCUGGGUUGUAAACUGCUUUUGCCGGGGGAUAAAUCCCAUGCGUGGACAUGAAGUACCCGUGAUAAGCACGCUACUACGUGCCAGCAGCCGCGGUAAUACGUAGGUGGCAAGCGUUGUCCGGAUUUAUUGGGUUUAAAGGGUGCGUAGGCGGCCUACUAAGUCAGUGCUGAAAUAUCCCGGCUUAACCGGGAGGGUGGCAUUGAUACUGAUGGGCUUGAGUGGAGUCGAGGUAGGCGGAAUUGACGGUGUAGCGGUGAAAUGCUUAGAUAUCGUCAAGAACACCGAUAGUGUAGACAGCUUACUAGACUUCAACUGACGCUGAGGCACGAAAGUGUGGGGAUCAAACAGGAUUAGAUACCCUGGUAGUCCACACUGUAAACGUUGAUUACUUCGCUGUGUGCGAUAUACAGUAACGCGGGCUUAGCGAAAGCGAUAAGUAAUCCACCUGGGGAGUAACGCCGGCCACGGUGAAAACUCAAAGGAAUUGACGG
rnacentral:rRNA from 1 species